AGAGGCUGCUUGAAUUUUUUCAGUCUAACAUACAUAGAGUAUUUAUGACUAAAAUUUAUUCUAUCAUGUGUACUAUGUAUGAAAUCGGAUAUAGUAUACUCACUAGGAUAGUGAGUGGAUAUCUGCAAGAUCCGGAUGAGAAUCACUGAAAAGUCAUCCUUAGGUAUUUGAGAAAUACUAAAGAUUGGUGACUCGAUUAUGGAGAAU
rnacentral:lncRNA from 1 species